rnacentral:tRNA from 1 species
GCCCGCCUAGCUCAAUCGGAUAGAGCGUCAGACUCUUACUAGGCAAAGGCAUCUGAAGGCUGCGAGUUCGACCCUCGCGGUGGGCU